CCUACGGGUGGGCAGCAGUGGGGAAUAUUGCACAAUGGGCGAAAGCCUGAUGCAGCAACGCCGCGUGAGCGAUGAAGGCCUUCGGGUCGUAAAGCUCUGUCCUCAAGGAAGAUAAUGACGGUACUUGAGGAGGAAGCCCCGGCAAACUACGUGCCAGCAGCCGCGGUAAUACGUAGGGGGCUAGCGUUAUCCGGAAUUACUGGGCGUAAAGGGUGCGUAGGUGGUUUCUUAAGUCAGAGGUGAAAGGCUACGGCGCAACCGUAGUAAGCCGUUGAAACUGGGGAACUUGAGUGCAGGAGAGGAGAGUGGAAUUCCUAGUGUAGCGGUGAAAUGCGUAGAUAUUAGGAGGAACACCAGUUGCGAAGGCGGCUCUCUGGACUGUAACUGACGCUGAGGCACGAAGGCCAGGGGAGCGAAAGGGAUGAGAUACCCUUGUAGUC
rnacentral:rRNA from 1 species